ensembl:lncRNA
GAUGGCAACCACUAUUUCUUAUGACUGCUCCAGUGUGUGGGUGACAACAUGCUGCUUCUAAGGCAGCAGCUCAUCCCAACGUCUCCUACCUGGUCCUUGAGUGGUGACUCUCUCAUUCCUCUCACUGUCCUGGCAUUUCCUCUACGUUCAUGUCUUGCUAGAACGGUGUGAAUUGACAGAAUAUCUGCGGGGUUUUACGUAGUAUAUGGCUGCCCACAAGAUGUUUACUGAGUACCAUCUAUGUUCCAGGCACUCGACAUGGGAAUACCCAAAGCUGACCAGGAAUUUGUUCUCAAAGUGCUCACAGGGACCUAGACAAAUGCACAGGAACUUAGAAUCCAACCUGAACCAAACCCAGGAAGGCUUCCUGAAAGAGGCAAUCUCAAAAUGAAGACAAAAUCACAUUUAGAAUGGAUGAAUAAUAAGGUCCUAAUAUAUAGCACAGGGAACUAUAUUCAAUAUCCUGUGAUAAACC